UCCUCCGCUUAUUGAUAUGCUUAAGUUCAGCGGGUAUCCCUACCUGAUCCGAGGUCAACCUUAGAAAUGGGGUUGUUUUACGGCGUAGCCUCCCGAACACCCUUUAGCGAAUAGUUUCCACAACGCUUAGGGGACAGAAGACCCAGCCGGUCGAUUUGAGGCACGCGGCGGACCGCGUUGCCCAAUACCAAGCGAGGCUUGAGUGGUGAAAUGACGCUCGAACAGGCAUGCCCCCCGGAAUACCAGGGGGCGCAAUGUGCGUUCAAAGAUUCGAUGAUUCACUGAAUUCUGCAAUUCACAUUACUUAUCGCAUUUCGCUGCGUUCUUCAUCGAUGCCAGAACCAAGAGAUCCGUUGUUAAAAGUUUUAAUUUAUUAAUUAAGUUUACUCAGACUGCAAAGUUACGCAAGAGUUUGAAGUGUCCACCCGGAGCCCCCGCCCGAAGGCAGGGUCGCCCCGGAGGCAACAGAGUCGGACAACAAAGGGUUAUGAACAUCCCGGUGGUUAGACCGGGGUCACUUGUAAUGAUCCCUCCGCAGGUUCACCUACGGA
rnacentral:misc_RNA from 1 species